UGAACUCCGGGUCGCAUUUUGGAGUGUUCAUAUUGAAACCAGUGACACCCAAGAAGUUUUUCUCUUUUCUUUUCAAGCACCCGUGUGAAGCUUAUUGGAGACCCAAAUUUGAUAAGGGCACCCAGCUGCUAUUUUUACUCGUCCACUUUUUCUUUUCUUCUUAUUUUUCCUUUUCUCCUCGGCCAUUCUGCUUCUCCCUUUUCACCGCCUCGCAGUGCCGUAUCAGAACACUGCGAACUUGGCGCUAAGCUUUUACCAAGUGAAAUUGGAUAUGGAUUUGAAGAGGUAACUUGAUCUGGAGAUGGAAGCACGCAUGGGUCUUCAACUAGAAGGAAUUUCUCAACUCUUGAAGCUCGAACUUUGCUGUAUUGCUUCUUCCUGUGAGAAAUUGGCUUUCUUCAAAAUUUCGGGGCAUGUCUUUUGGUGUCUGCAUAUUCUUCCACUUACUUUGCUGGGAUUGCAUUUUGUGAUUCUCUCCUGAACACUUGGUGAGUUGGGAUUGCAUUUCGUGCUUCUCUGCUGAAUGCCUGGUGAGCGCUAAGACGGGCAUAUCCACUUGAACGUGGCUUCCCAAAAAACGCAAGUGCAAGCGAGGGCUUUGACAGCAAACGCCAUUUCACCGCUGGGAUUUGGUGGACAAAGUUGUUGGAAAUACUCCAAGAGAACAUCAAGGGUGAACUUUCCUCUCCAGACACCAAUUUUGAUGAUUUGUGGUUUGUCUCGCUUGGUCAAUUCCUUGUGUGGCUUGUUUGCAAGUGGUGCAAGGCCAUUUGUUGUGUUGCGGUGGAAAGGAAGGCAGGAGGUAGAAGACUUUUGGUGGUGACCGUUGUUGCUUCUGCAAAACAGCUCUUGUGGAGGCAAAUGGGCAUUGUCCUUGUAUGAUGACACUGUUUUCUGCUGCAAAGCACUUGUUGGUACUCAACAAGGCUUAAAAAAUUCCACCGGAUUGGUCAUACACCCAUUGAUACACAUGUAUCGUAAACGGGAUUGCGACCGCUCCGGGGACCUCCAUAGCUCCAUGGUGACACAGGUAAAAGAGAUGCUGCACAGAAAAAGAAAGUAGCACGGGUGGAUCAGAGAGGCCCCAACCUUUGUAUUGGUUGCUUGUUGGCUUCUUGCUUCGAUCAAAAUUGCUGAAAUGCUUCCUCUCUCCUCUGCAGCAAGCUUCACCUCUUUCUUGAUGUAUUUCCUGUGUCCGCUUCUGCUCCCCUCUAGCCUUUUCUGCUCCUCCUUCGUUGCCUCUCUGCUGCCUUCCAGUCCUUCUCCCCAGCCUUUUUUGCUUCUGCUCUCCUGAGUCUCCUCCUCUGCUUUUGCUCGACUCCUCCCCUUUGCUUGUGAGGUUGAGCCUUUUUAUAGGCAGCUGAGAACCCAAACGGUUGGUUGGAGAUGAGGAUAACAUGCAAUUUAAAUUCAAAUUUGAAGCUAUAAUCUGUCACUUUGAAGAUGAUCACAGCAGCAACAAAACUCCAAUUUUCACGUUGGAAGCUUGAACUGGUAGCUUUGUUUAUUCAAACUUUGGAUAGGUACAAAUCUCUUUCAUCUUGA